rnacentral:rRNA from 1 species
GACGAACGCUGGCGGCGUGCCUAAUACAUGCAAGUAGAACGCUGAAGAGAGGAGCUUGCUCUUCUUGGAUGAGUUGCGAACGGGUGAGUAACGCGUAGGUAACCUGCCUUGUAGCGGGGGAUAACUAUUGGAAACGAUGGCUAAUACCGCAUAACAAUGGAUGACACAUGUCAUUUAUUUGAAAGGGGCAAUUGCUCCACUACAAGAUGGACCUGCGUUGUAUUAGCUAGUAGGUGAGGUAAUGGCUCACCUAGGCGACGAUACAUAGCCGACCUGAGAGGGUGAUCGGCCACACUGGGACUGAGACACGGCCCAGACUCCUACGGGAGGCAGCAGUAGGGAAUCUUCGGCAAUGGGGGCAACCCUGACCGAGCAACGCCGCGUGAGUGAAGAAGGUGUUCGGAUCGUAAAGCUCUGUUGUAAGUCAAGAACGGGUGUGAGAGUGGAAAGUUCACACUGUGACGGUAGCCUACCAGAAAGGGACGGCUAACUACGUG